rnacentral:lncRNA from 1 species
ACCGAGCGUGUCUCAAACCGUCCCGCGCUUUUAUCUGCCUAAAGGUAUCUUCACGCACGACUGGAUAGGCCUUUUAGAUACGCUUGUCCAAGGUAAGGAUAUGAGUCAAGCUAUAGCCUACUUUUAAUGUUUUAGUUCCGAACUCAAGUUACUCCAGUCAAGUGAUUAACCGUAAAAGUUUGUUGUUUUGACUGAGCAGUCCAAUGGCCAAUGCUGUUUUUGGACUAUGAGACCCUCUGCUAUAUACUAUGAUGAGCCAAUAACAUGCAAAGAUUAUGCAUUAGGCAUUACACAAGUCAGUGUCUAGGUCAGAAUAUAAAAUAGCUAUUUCCGUCAAUUCAUGUUACUCACCUCAAGUGAUUAAUCGUAAGAGUUAGUUAUUUUGAUUAUCAAAACAAACAUCUUUGAUGGAAUAUUCCAAAUUACAAUGCAAUUAUGCAUCACAAAUUCACAAUAUUUCUUGUAUUUCAAUGAUUCAUCUAGGCCCAAGACAUAAAGUUGCCUGAAAGCUGUGUAGCAAUAAUUCCUGCUCCUGACACAUAGGAUGGUAAUCACAUACAUGAUUGGCUUAAUCAAGAAUCAUGGAUACCUUUCAUGUGAGUACUCACACACCAGAUUUUUUUUACAUACCUUAGAAGGAAGAUACCUCAAUAUCUGGAAGCACUGUCUCAUGUACAAUUGUUAAUGCUAUCUCUGAAAUGUCUAACAAAAUGUUGACUUGAUCCUUUCAUCAAGACCUUCUCAUCACAAGUUGGAACUAGUGGUCAACAUUGGGACAAUGCAGCCCAAAAUAACAGGGCUGAAUAUUUUCAUGGAGGUAAGCACUACACUUCUGAUGGGUUUAAAGAUUGUAUUACAUUAUCUAAAAGUGAUAAAGUAAACCCCAGCUAUUGUUAUUAUUUUCACAGGGAAGGACAAAUCCCAUUAUGCCAUGAAUGUUUAAUUGCGGAACAACCAUAGAUAUUUUUCCUCUAAUUUGGCUCCCGUUCCUCCCAACAGUGAGCAAGACCUGCCAGCAGAGCUCACUGGAGCAGGGAGACAUCCCGUCAUCCUUUUGGCGCCUGACAAAGUACACUUUUUUUCUUCUAAAUAACACUAUAGUAACAUCUUCUGCACAAUGUUACAUUCCUAAUAAGAUUGGUGUUAAGUGGGAAAGAAUCCUAAAGAUGGUCCAAUGGGCAUGGUCUGAAGCCUCUCGUCAUCUCAGUAUGUUGAACCACCUGAUUUCCUGCAGGCUUGAGAUUCAGAUCCUGCUGAACGAUGUUAAGCAGUCGAUUAACCACAUGCAGGGGACGCUGAACACCAUGCAGGGGCAGUGUAUUGAGUUGCAGACUGCCAUAUCUAAGAUCAUCACAGCAACCGAAGUUGCUGUGCAGAGGGAGGAGAUCGUCCGAGCAUCAAGCCUCAGCCCGUCACAGAGGAAGGGUAUCCUCCAAACAGCCAGUGUCCCUUCACAGAGGGAGGGGAUUCUCUCAGCCGCCAGCAUCAAUGCACAGAAGGAGGAGAUCCUCCGAUCAUCAGGCCUCAUCCCUGCACGGAGGGAGGGGAUCCUCCAAACAGCCAGUGUCACUGCGCAGAAGGAGGAAAUCGUCCCAAUGGCGAACGCCCCUGUGCACAGGGAGGGGAUUGUCCCAAAGGCUAGUGUCCCUGCUGAGAGGGAGGAGAUCCUCCGAGCAUCAGGCCUCAUCCCUGCACAGAGGAAGGGGAUCCUCCAAACAGCCAGUGUCCCUGCACGGAGGAAGGGGAUCCUCCAAACAGCCAGUGUCACUGCGCAGAGGGAGGAGAUCCUCAGAGCAUCAGGCCUCAUCCCUGUACAUAGGGAGGGGAUCAUCCGAGCACCAGUCCACAUCCCUACAAAGAGGGAGGGGAUUCUUCCAGCAGCUUCUAUCACUGCGCAGAAGAAUAAGAUGCUCAGAGCAUCACAACUCACCCCUGCACAAAGGGAGUUGAUCCUCCUGAUGACCAGUGUCACUGCGCAGAGAAAGGGAAUCUUCCCAAAGGCCAGCGUCCCUGCGCACAGGGAGUGGAUCGUCCCAAAGGCUAGUGUCCCUGCAGAGAGGGAGGAGAUCCUCCUCACAGCCAGUGUCCCUGUGAAGAAUGAAAACAAUCAUCCACAACCACCUCCCAUCAUCCCCAUGGUGGCACCACUGUGGAAAUGGGAUGGUGGAGCGUGUAUUCCACCUGUGGAUUUCUAUUCCAAGAGAAGAGGUCACUUAACCUUACCUAAUUAG